rnacentral:rRNA from 1 species
AGAGUUUGAUCAUGGCUCAGAACGAACGCUGGCGGCGUGCUUAACACAUGCAAGUCGAACGCGAAAGGGACUUCGGUCCCSAGUAGAGUGGCGCACGGGUGAGUAACGCGUAAGUAAUCUACCCCUGUAUCUGGAAUAACCCACCGAAAGGUGAGCUAAUACCGGAUACGUUUAUCUUGAUGCGAAUGAUGAUAAAGAAAGGUGGCCUCUUCAUGAAAGCUACUGUACAGGGACGAGCUUGCGUACCAUUAGCUGGUUGGUAGGGUAAUGGCCUACCAAGGCGACGAUGGUUAGCGGGUCUGAGAGGAUGAUCCGCCACACUGGAACUGAAACACGGACCAGACUCCUACGGGAGGCAGCAGUGAGGAAUAUUG